AGGGGAACCGAUUCUCACGGAUGGACAAUGAAAAGAAAGGUGCGGGCAAAUGGGUGGGGGUCUGGGUGGAGCGAGGAACUCAAGGUCCAGCUGGAGAAAGAAAGGAAGAAAGAAAAUAGAAAUCUCUGGGAGCAGAGCAGUCCUGAAGAGCAGGAGACUGCUGGCUACGUGGGGGUAAGGAGGCUUUGGGGGAACCAUAACAAUUUUUUUCCAACAAAGCCACAUUAUUUCCUAUGGUUUAGGGAGUUAGGCUUUGCAUUUUUAAAAUCAAUACUCUCUAAAGUUCUAAAAAGUAAGGAGAAGGUUAUAGUUUUUUGUUUUUACUUUGUUAAUUAGCAGCAAUGAGCCGGCUCCAAUGUGGCCUUCCUGCCAUGCAGGUCAGCUCCCAGCUCCCUAACUCCAUCCCCGGGCACCGUGGCUAAUUCUAAGAGGCCCCGUGGAGAGUCCAUGGCGGCUGGUGGUGGGGUUGGCUGAGGGUGACUCGGAUCACUUCUGAUUCUUGCUGUGAUGACAGAGACCUCACAGACCUCGGGCUUCCCACAGUGCUCCAUCCUCCGCUGUGCUGUGUGUGUUUGAGGCAUCGCUGCAUCUCGGCUCUGUGCUCUGCUCCUGGGGCCUGAGGUCGUUUGAGAAGGUCCUUCCAGAACAUCGCUGGUCAUCUUGACCUCUAGAGAGACAAUAGCCAGAAAGCCACAUGCAAAGUGACACAUGUGACUUCUGCUCACAUUUUAUGGAUCAAAGCAUGUCAUACGUUGACAGCCGGUACAGAAGGGCACCUCCCUCCUAUUCCUCCCUCAGGGUGGGAAGCCCAUCACUGGGCCAGUGAGGCACAGAAACCCUGAAUACGGCUCCUUCCGCCUAAAAUGUAACAGUGGCGUGCUGACAGGAAGUCUGACGAGCCAGGUUGUCAGAAAAGAUCUGAAGGAAGCUGCCAUGUGUGGAAUUGUAUUUUUUUCCCCUAAAGAUUAUUUUAUGCUUGUUGGAUCCAUCAUAUUCUGAAAUCCUUUUGCUGCCCAACAAGCACUGAUAAGUGGAAACCCUUCAGUCACACUGCUGUUAGCGACAUCGCUCUGCAAGUCCCUGAUGUCCACUUGUUGGCUGGUUUCAUUUUCUCCUGAGUCUAACCUCCCCUUUCCUCCACGUCCUCACCCACUUUUUACUCCCCACUUCAUCUCCCUGGUCUCCAAAUCCCAGAUGACUGUGACCCCUCUGUGGUCACCUAACAUUGUCCUGUCUUUUCCUGAAAAGGCUAAUACUUUUCACUUGGGGUUUUUCCCUGCUGUCUUAGGAAGACUUCCUGCGCAAGGCUGAGUUUCCAUUCCUAGAUAAAAGAUCAGCAUGUUUUCCUUCCUUCAUUAUGAGAGAGAAUUUUAGUACAAUAUCUUACUAAAGCAUCUGGCCAGGGAAGAAAAUGACUACAAACCACAGCUUUACAGGUGUUUUUAACAAAACAACCAGCUGGGACCCAUUCAGGACUGUUUUCUUUGCUCCUUCCUAUUCAAAGCCUGGCUAAACUUCACCUCUGAUGUGUGCCCAGAUCUGAUCUGGAAGUUUUUGGCGACUCCUGGCAGGGAGGGGGCAAUCAGCGCUCUCUGCCUUGGCCCAGGGAGGCCUUGACCCAGCAGGGAUCAGAAUCCUCUCCUGAAGGGAGCUUUUGUUCCCUGGCAGGAGCAUUUCUGGGCUGCAGCCACGGCCGCCUAUUCACCGUCCUGGCAGGGAGAGAACAGGGAAGAGCGGCUGACCGCACAUUAGAAAAAAAAAAACUUUUUAUUUCUUUCUUCGCCUCCUUAUCAACUGGGACAGCUUGUUUUUACCUGUGAUUCUUAGAUUCAGAAUCACAAGAGUGGAAACGGUGCCCUGCUGUUUCCUUCAAGUGACAAAAAGACAUAAUUAUUUUUUUCCUAUCAAACACUUUUCUAGUUAAGUUUGUUUACCUUAUUUUGAUUUUGAGGAAGCCCGCUCUCUGCCUUGCUUUGUUUUACUCACAAACAACAACAGCAACAAAAACAACCACCGGAAGGCAGGAACAGGGUCUCUUAGCAACCAGGAACUCUUCCAGCUCCCCGCUAGAAUCAGACCUUGGAGCUGCAAAGUUUAUAACUGAACCUGCUGAAGGACAGUAGCUCUCCCCGAGCUGAUCAUUUUAAAUCAAUGUUUGGACAAGAAAAUUAACCAAGCUUUCAGGACAAAUGUGUGUAUACAGGCGACAGCCACAAAACAGACAUCCGGUGCCCUGGGAUAAUCCCAUUCUCCUCUGCUCCCAGACGUGGCUGGCUGAGCUCUGUCUGACUUCCUUCAUCCACGUCCCCUGUCCCUUGUCCCCUGUUCUUGCGCUGAUGUGAAGUAGACAGAGCCAUGUAAGAAACGAACAGUCCCUGCUUGGAGGAGGACUGGGAAGAAGCCAGGGCUGCUUGUUAGCAAGGGGUUGGGCCAGCAGCUGGUCACGUGGGCUUUGCAUGUGCUGAGCCUUGGCCCAGGGAGAGAAAGAGAGCAUGCUUGUGCCCCUGUAGUGCUCACAGUCCAGUAGAGAAGACAGACAGGGAUAAGCCGUUAUGGCCCACUUCAGGACAUGAGCAAAGAGAAUUCCCCUCAGGGUGCAGAAAGCCCAUGCUCAGUGCCUGUCCUGGAGGCAGGGUGGGGCCAGGAGGGUGUGAGGAGGCCCGGGUUACCCUUCCACUUGGUGGUGAUGUCCAAAGCUACCCCAAAGCUUAGCAGCUUAAAACAGUGACUUAGAGAAAGUGUGUGUGGGGGGCAACUGUUCUCUGCUUCGUGCUGUCUGGGGGUUGAAAGGGGACUGGGAAGGCUGGAGGUGGCUUCAACUGCUGGGGUCACAGUUUUUAGAGCUGAGUUGGGCUGGCAGUGAGGGGGCGGGGCUGAGAUGGUUACUGGUAAUGUUUCCGAGGGGCCUCAGGAUGCUGGGCUUCUUACAUGGUGACUCCAGACUCUAAAAGCAAAGGAAUGGUCUUUGCGAACCAGGCAGAAUCAGCUCAGCCUUCCAUGCCCUGGCUGUUAAACAGAAUCACUUCCAAAUACCACACCAGUGGGAGGGGCCUGGGACCCAUCUAGAUGUACACGCGAGGACAGAGACCCGUCUCGCUGUGGAAAGAGGGACGGAAUGUUUGAAAUCAUCCUUAAGAACACCACACAAGGGAAGAAGGAUAGUUUGGGGCCAGGAACUGUGAAUUGCAGUUUGACUGUGCCCCACUCACUGUGUGACCUUGGUUUAGUUGCUUCUCCUCUCUGGGCCCAGCCUCUUCAUCUGUAAAACAGGACCCUGGCCAGGUUAAUCCAAAGUCCCUUCUAAUGAGCGGCAGGUGCUCCUUAAUUGCCUGUGGCCUGGGAGUGAGCUGAAUUUUAACUAUGGGUCUGGAUGGGCCGUGGACUCAUGUAGACGAUGGGGCAUCUUGAUAACUAGGAGCUGUGGAAUUGGGUUUGAAAAGAUGAGAGUACAGAGGUCCGGUGAGGUGGGGUACGCACUCACAGUCCAACAGUAAGUUGAUAAUGGCCACUUGACGAAUAGUACCCAAAUCCCCAAAUAGGACACAGGUCCCCUGUGUCCUUCCCACCCACACAGUACACGUAUGCCAUCCAGACACCUCCAUUCAGGAAGGACAUCUGUAAGAAGCUGUCUGGAAAUUUCCACUGUGUCCAGCCUGUGAAUUGGAAUGUGGCCUGGAGAGUUUGGUGAUGAGGUCUUCUGCUUGCUGGUGGCUCUUUUGGGUACCCAGCCUAGGACUGAGGCAGAAUGACAAAUGACCACGGAGCUGCCGGGCGGGUUGACAAGGGGUGAGCUAGCUUCUGGUUUGGGUCCUAAUUUGUUCCAGACCAGCCGGAUUCAGAGAUGGUUCCUGUGCAUAUAUAAUAUGGUGAUUGAGUUAAAUAAUAGAUGACAAGAGAGGCCACGGGAGGUGGGAGCAAAGGCAGAGGAGAAGGAGUCUGAUUUCAGCCUAAAUUGGGAAGGACAUGAGCGGCCGAGACAGGGAGCCAGGAAGGCAGACAGAACGGUGGCAACAGGAGCAGGAUGAGUGGCAGGAAGAGCUGUGUGGCUCAUGACAGCCCCAGAGAGCCAGUAUGAGCUCCGAGUGUCCCCAAAGCACUGACCCCUCCUGAUGGAUGGGCUUUCAGAGCUUGGUCCCUUACAGACAUGGCCUUAAAUAGCAUCAAAUGAACGAGGAUGAGCAAUGUGGUUUGGACACGACCUGACAGGGUCCACCUGUGCUGGGUCAUCCAUCACGAUGCCAGGGAGGUGAGCGGCGGACACACUGAGAAGCCAGCAGGGCUCUUUGGGGGGAGUCGGACCCCUGACCCAUUCCCAGCCCCCAGCCGCCAUUCCAUUUCCUCUCCCCGUCCGUCCUGCUCUUGCCACUGCUCGGACCAGACCUGCUCUGGUCCCCUGCCUGCGGUGUCCAUGCUAACUCAGGCCCAAGCCAUCACAUGCUUUCGUCAUGCCCAUUCUCUGCUCAGCUCCUCAUGGUUACCCUUCUCCUUUUAUUUACAAGCCUCUUUAUGUGGGGGCUCGAUGAAAUGACAACAAUGAUAAGACUGAACCCUCAAGAUGAGGUCUUGGGUUCUAGGACUGUGGCAUCCUGCGGUCAUUUUAUUCUUGUGAAGACACAGAAAGUCACAUUUGUGCAGCCCACUGGGGUCAGCCCAACCCAGGCCCACCUUGUGAUCCAUUCUCAGCACAGUUUGCAAAAAUCUAUAGGGUUUCACACACUCUGAACAUAUUUCUCCUAUAGACUUGUGUGUUGCUUGUUUGCUCUUCAGCUGAUUCAAGAAAUGACAGCCGUUCCAGGGACAUGAAGACCUGCCUGCUCUUCGGGUGCCUAAGGGAGCGGGAAAAUGGGCCAGCGAGAGGCAGCGCGGGUCACAGCAGGGCUGGCUCACAUCCAAACAUGUUUCGGGGGAGGGGCGGGAGCCACUGCAAAGGAAGACAAAAGGGACUAGCACACUGGCCCUGCUUCUGUGAGCUUUUAUUCCAGUGACAGGGAUGAGAUGAGCCAGGACUGUGACAGAACACCAGAAAGCCAAGAGCCAAAAGGGAAGGUCACAGUGCCUGCGGGUUGAAAGGAGGCAGAGGCUGGUCCAGCUGGGAGCGGACCAUGCAGAGCUAUCCCCGGGUCAUGCCCUUUCAGACAGGCCUGGGAGAGAGGCUUUCCUGGCAAAGAACUGGUGCUGAGCUGUGGAGGUUGGAGACAUUCCAUGGGCAGGGCAGGCUGCACAGUGAGGGGAGAGAUCUCUGCUGGGGGCAGGCCGGGCAGGGGCUUGACUUCAGAGUGCUGGGGUGCAUGUGAUUGGGGGAACCACUUGUCCCAACUCUCCUUCUGAACUGAGGACAGCCCAGGGACAAACAGACCAGGCGUGGUCUGGAGAAUGCAGAGCUCAGGGUGUGUGGAACCAAGAGGACUCGUGAUGGGCAUCCCACAGCCACAUAAUGGGAAAGGCAGGUGCCAGGUGGGCAGAGGCUGGAGAGGGACAUUCGGACGGCAGUGACGUGAGACUGAAAGAGGAUUCUACACGGUGGGAAGAAGCACUUACUGCAUCCUGUGGCUUUGGCCAUAAGCAGCGACAGCUCAGACAUUUCUAGUGUCUUAGGAGAGGAUUUAGGAGACUGAGCCAUGGACACUGGGGAGCCUGCUGGAAGCCAUGUGGAGGUGUCGCAGGCCACUAGGGGCCACCAUGGGCUCUCAGCGUUCUGCAGCUUUUUGCUGAGGGUGCUAGAUUUCAUGGUUCCUUUCCUGAGACCAAGCAGUUGGUCACUGGUCAUGCAGGGAACUGGGGUGGGGCAAGCAGUGUGAUUACUGACUGUCCCCAUUUAUCACUGGACAGUGAGGAGGAGAGCUUGUUUCCUGUUUGCUGACCAAAUGUGCCCCUAGUCUCAUGUCCUUCCACUGAUCCAGUUGGGGUGCCUCUCCUGGACCAUUUUGUUAGACAGAGCCCUGAUCGUUUGACUCUGUUUUCUAACUUUCCUCUACAAGGGCCCUUGUGAGGGUCUCUGCCUGGCUCCUGCUAAUCACCCAGGGAGCAUGAUCUCAUGUUGGCUUGGGGGCCCCUGCUGUGCUCUGAUCGGCAAUUGCUCAAGGCUGGGGAUGCACAUCAGCUUUGGUAGUGAGCUCUUCUGCUGCUCCUAAAGUGCUCUGCUUGGCAGGGUCAAGUCCAAACCCUGUGCAGGGCACAGGCUUUUCCUGCAAGGUCCCUACCCAUCUCAUGUCCUCCCUGAGCACCAGCUGUGCCAAACCCAAGUCGUGCUUUAUUAGGCACCAUGCGGAUUCAUGCUCCUGUGGCUGUGCCCCAGCAGUUCCCUCUGGAUGGCCUCUGGAUGGCUUUGUUCUGGGCUCACUCAACUUAACACUGCCUCUAUCUGAAGCCCAGCCUUGACCUGCCAGGGUGGGGUUGGCCCCUUUCUCCUGGGUGCCCAACCUGCAUUGCACCCGUUUACAGAAUCCAUGGCUUGGGGCAUAGCAUGAACUCCUCUCUGAAGGACUUUGGAGCCCUUUCACCACGUGACUCCAGGACAGCUGUGUUAGCUCUGCGCCUCUGCCUUGGCAUGCAGCGCGGGUAAUGAUGCUAACUGCAUGAGUUUAUCCUAAGGACAAAGUGAAAGAACUACUGUCCCAUGUGGAAGAGUAUAAAGGGACUGUGGAGCCCAGCCAGGCAUCCACGAGCCCUCAAUCAACUGUAGUUGUUGGUGACCGUCUGCCUCUAGACCAGGGCUGUCCUGUAGAAGUCUCACGAGUCCACACGUGGGGGCCAAGUGUGAAAUCUUAGCUUCUCUAGCAGUUGCAUUAAUAAAAAGCAGUGAAAUUAAUUUCAGCAGUUUAUGUUAUUGAACUCCAUCUCUCUCAAAUAUGACCAUUUUAAUACUUCCUAUAAAUAUUUUAGUGAGAUAGUUUUAAUUUAUAAAAAUUAUGUCUUUGAAAACCAGUGCUUUUCUACAGGGGCAGCACAACUCAUUUUGGACCAGCCGCAUUUCAUCUUCCUGGUGGUCAGUUGUCCACCAGGAGCUACGGGGGAUGCCUGAGGGCCCGAUUUCUGCAUGCGGCAAUCAACGUGCGGCAGUACAUUGUGAGAUAUUACCGCACCUGCCAUUACGUACAGACACCAGUUUCAGUAGCAGAGCAGGGUGCCCAGGCGGUGACUGGUGGGGAUGGACAGACAGCCAGGAUGGAGGCGGAGCCCUGGGAAGCUCCGCAGCAAAUUUUGGGGCAGGGAAGCACUGGACCACAGUGUGGGCUUGGUGCUGUGGGCACCACUGUUUGGUCUCCCUUACGAGGAGUCUCAUGCUAAGUGAGAAGGCAGCCUUGCCCACGGACAGGAUGGGUAGCUUCCUUUUCCGUCGGGUGUUGGGCAUCGCAGGAAAGCUAUCUGGCCAGGCUGAAGCCAUUGGCUAUCAAAAUGGUACGUGAGUUCUGGUUCCAUCAUCAGUGAGCCACAUGACCUUGGCCAGUUCCCUCAGCAGUCACAUCCACCUCCUCAGGGUGCCCGGGGGCGGGGGGGGGAGACCCUAUACAGCGAGCCUAUUUUGAGGGAUCCUGUGUUUCUGACACAGCGCCCCGGGAUUCCUGUCUUUUAGUGUUCAUCCCACUGUGUUCCCUCCGAGGACACAUUAGACCUACAGACUUAGUACUAAGAAAUAGAAUGUGGCAAGCGAUGCCUUCUGAUGCAGUGAGCUGCCACAGUAGGUGACAAUCAUGUUACGAUGACGUGCAUAUUGAGGAACCAGCGAGGUCUCCAGUCACAAGCUCACAGCUGCUCCCUGAGGAAGUCAAGCCACAGUUCAACAACUCAAGACAAAGUAAAGCCUAAUGAUCACCGUGUGUGUGUGUGUGUGUGUGUGUGUGUGUGUGUGUGUGAACUUGGAAGCAGGUUCUUCCCAGAUAGGCAAGCCAGAGGAGCCAGCUGACCUGUGCCUGGAUCCCUCAAGCUAUGAGAUAAUAACUGUAGGGGUAACUUGUUACACAGCAGUGCAUAGCUGAUACAUGCAUGUAAGACUCACAUAUAUUAAAAACAUAGGGGGUAAUCAGUCAGUUUGCAUAUUUCUCUGAGCAGGGGUAAGAGGUAUUCACCAGUCACUUAAGGCAGGGGAAUCUUGUCCUCUGUUAGACAAAUUCUCUAGCUUACAGAGCCUUCACAGGUAGCCAGAAUUGGAUCAGAUUGACUUAAGUAGCUGCAUAAUUUUUCAUUCUUAACUGCAGCUUGUUCCUUUGCAUUCGAGUCAGUCUUUACCUGCUCAGCCCAGUGUCGGUUUCCAUCCAUCCCAUCCCUUCUCACUUCCAACCUUUGCUCUAUUGUUCCCACCUUGAGGACCUUGGAGCCAUUCCUGGGACAGAGAGCCAGCCUGGGGGUGGAGGACAGUAACAGGCUUGAGAACAAGGUAUCAGUGGCCCACAGAUCCGAGGAGGGUAUUUUUCCCUCUUUUUAGAACACCGUUGCUCUUGGAGAGAAAAACUAGUAUGAAGGAUUCAUGCAUAAUGGAGCUGAGCAUUUGUGAUUGUGAAACCUAAUCAGUUGUGAAAUCUAAUCGAUUGCAAUGUGCUUGCCUGGGAAGCAAAUGUAUUAGUGGAAGGGGGGUGGUGGUCUGCGCAUUGUGGAGAGGAGGCAACCCGAGGGGCAGGGUUCCUCUGUUCUCCCAGCGUGUGCAGAGCUGGGUGCUCCGGAAGGCAGACAGAAACCUCUGCCAGGACACACCUGGCUGUCAUAACUCCCGGCCACGAGGCACGGAAGUCCUCUUCUGCUCUCCAGCCUGGAGUCCCUGCUGUCCACGCAGCUUUGCAUGAGGACAGUCCUGUUCCAUGUCCACUGGCCAGUGCUACACAUGGCUGUCUGGCUUAUUCAUCAGUGACUUGGGGGUUUGUCCAGCAGGAUACAUCUCUGACUCCAGAGCACAGAUCCCUGGUGACCUCCCUUCCUCCCUUCCUCUCUCAAUCCUUUUCUCCUAUCUCUUUCCUUCUCUUUCUUCUUCUAUGCCUGCCACUAUCCUCUCUCCCUUCCUCUCCCUCUCUCUGUCUACCUCUCUCUAUCUCUGACUGUCUCUGAGUGGAAUUACCGGUCUCCCUCUCUGUCUCUCUUAGGAAUUAUUGAAUGGCAUUUUAGUUGAAACCAGAGAGUCUGGGGCCCAGAGACCUGUUUGUGUCACUUAGCAGCUAUGGGCUCCUGGACAAGUGACUUUCACCUCUCAGUGGCUCUUUUGCAACCUGAGAAUCACAGCACGCACCUAGUGAAGCUGACACAGAAGUGAAUGACUUGGCAAUGUGGGUGGCACGGCGUGGUGCUCACUUGGUGCUAGCUCGACCCUAAGUGCUGGGCAUCUGGCCUGGGCUGGGCUGGGGCUGGGACCUGGGAACACAGGGUGCCUGCUGGGAAGAGAGAGGGGCUGUCUCAAACAUCAGGUGUCUCAAAGCACACCCUGCGCAGUGCUGACUCACGUGGGAGUUGGCGUCCUGUGGGAACAAGGGUCUCACCGCUUUCUAUGUCCUCAGUGCCAUGGGCAUCACUUCCCAGGGCCACUGGAGUGCAGUGCAAGGGACCAGAGAUCUUAAGUAUCAGAAGUGGGCACAGAAGAGGCCACAAGGCAAGGAGGGAAGGGCACAGGUAUGAGGCUGUCCCUGGGUGGCGGCGGGCGUGCUGCUGGCUGGGUAAUCACGGCCAGCAUGGGCGUGUCCUCUCUUGGCCACCCUCCCAGUUGGACAGGUGGCAUGUUGGAGAGGAUGGGAAUGCCACAUGACACCGACGAAUCUGUGCCACCAUUGGGACUCACAGCCACCCAAUCAUCAAUGCUGGCAGUGCCCAGAGAGACCCUGAUGCCACCACUAAGGCUGGAUGUGGAAGAGAGAGUGCCCGGCAGGGUGUGAGGCAGGGGCUGCCUGAAGCUUGAUCAAAAAAUAUGCAAUUCUGGAAAGCAGUUGAGGUACAAUUGUCCUUAUUUUACCGAGGAAGCCCCUGAAGACUCAGCCGGUAGUAACAGAAGGAGGUGGGGUGACUUAAAUCUUUCAAUUGCUUUUUUUUUUAAAUAAUGAAACUCCCCCCACCACCACGAAAAAGAAAAAAAAUACACGAUCAUUUAAGGAAAUUUGAAAAAUAUAGUAAACCAUAAAAAAAGGAAAGAUGUGGAUAAUGUCUCCUUACACUCUCUAAGCUGUCGGUAAUAUGUCUUUGGAGUCACAUUCGAUCAACGGUAGAGAAUUCAUCCGAAUAGAAACCGAGGACCUUUUGAUAUUGGACCUUGGUUUUCAAAUGCAACAUUAUCCUGUGAGCACUUCCCCAAGCCACUGACCUAUAUCUACCUACGUGUCACCUGUGGCUGGGGACAUGUUCUGAGAAGUGUGUUACAGGGUGAUUUUGCCAUUAUAUGAACACUGUGGGGUCCUUACAUGGACCAACAUGACUGUGAUGUCCCUGGACCGUUUAAUCUCAUGGGACCAUGCCAUACAUGCUUCCUGCCAUCGACCAAAACUUCAGUGUGGAGUGCGUGAGCCCACACCGGUGUAUAAUAAUUUAUGUCACCAUUCCCCUCCUGCUGGUCCCACUUCUGGCAUACAUAAGCACUUUCCAUCCAUAUCCUUAUGCUCUGUGUUCUGGGAUGUUCAGGCUUCCUGUGAGUUCAAUACUCCUGAUGCUUCCUGUGCAUUCUUCCUGUCUAUGCCUGUGAUGUAAACCACUCCAGAGGGGGAUUUCUGUCCAUGACAGCAGGAAAAACAACUAAUUGAAUCAGUUCAUGCUGCAGGAAAAGUGACUUAAUCUUGUCUCUCUCCCCGUUACCCCAUCUAGGACACCUGGCACGUGGUAAGUAGAGAUGCCCACGGGUGCAGAGGGUGUAGUUGCUUGUUGGAUGGACAAAUCCCCGCGGUUCCAAGGGAUUACACAGGAUUAGAUGAGGGCGGAGGAGAGCUCUGGUGAGGCAGAUUUCACAUCAAUAUAAUCUUUCCAAUAGACUUAGUUACUCAAAGGUAGAUUGAGCUGCAGCCAGCAGUUGUGAGCUGAACCCAAGACAUGGCCAUUACAGUUUUAGUGGAACGUUAGCAUCGUUUCAGGGAUAGGAAGAGAUAUUUCCAGGGUUCUGAUGGUUUCCUCUCUGCCCCAGGACUUGAUUUCAGUUAUUUUGCGCAAUGCCCUUUGGGGAUCAUUGUCGUAGAUCAGGCAUGACCUGCACGCUUCAUCCGAGCUGCCACCUCCCAGGGCUGACUGUGGCUGCUUUGUGAAUGUCUUCACGAGGUGCGUGCUGCUACAGAGUGUCACCCAACAGAAAGGCAGGGCCAUAAAAACAUGGCGCAGUGUCCUCACCCACCUUCUUCCCUGGAUCUGGCACUGGGUAACUUCUGGUUCUUCCCCAGAGACAAGAUGAUCGUGAAAGGUCAACAUUUUGAAUGCGUUCAAGAUAUCGAAGCCGCCAUGACAGUGUAGUUAAAGACAUUCAUGGAAGAGGACCUCCAGAACCGCUUCCAAAAGUGGCGAAAAUGAUGAAAUAAGUACGUUCCAAGCCAGCAGAAAGGAUUUGGAGAAGGAUUAAUAGCAAUGUGUCUUUUACUGCAAUACAUUUUUUUAAAAAAGUUAAAUACUUAGCGUAUGUGUCAAUCACACCUUAUCCUGGCACUUACAGCAUGCUGGGUACAGUUGUGCUAGGGAUAAUUUCCCGUAUCAUUGAGGUUUCUGAUGACUCUGUGGACCGGAUGCUUUUACUGUCAUCCUCAGUUCACAUGGGAGAAAAGGGAGAGGUCAGGCAACUUGCUCAAGGCCUCAGGCCGACAGCACCCAGGCUCAGGGAUCCAAACUCGGGGCCGCCAGCACCCCGUUAGUGCUUCCUGCAGCAAACACUCAUUUAUCAGUGUGAGAAGGCAGGAGCCACUGGUGGUGGAUGGGUGUGCUGGCCCUGCCCUCCCUGUGCCUCAGUUUCCACCGCUCUGAGCUGAGAUGGUCUCCUGGGGCCUCUAGGUCCCUCUGAACGGGGAUGCUCGGACAGUACUCAGCAGCCUGGUUUUUCAAUGUUGGCUUCACGGAAGCCUCCCCGGACAGUGACAGAGAGCAUCGUGUAAAAGCUUGGACACAUGUCACAUCCUGACGCUGUUAACAGGAACCGGGAGGAGUUCCUGUGGGACGACCAGGGAAGGAACCAGGGCGUUUUCCCAUCCCUCUUCCUCCGAGAGGCAGGGGCAUGAGUGGGCCGCUUCAUUUUAGCUGCGUUAGCUGCGUUGACUUCCACUAGACUGCAGUGAGUGACUGGCUUUGGCUCUGAAUUUCGGCAUGGAGGAGGAGGAGAGCCGAGGGUUAGGGGCUGGGGCGUCUGGGCCAUAUGGUCUUGGCCUUGGUAAUCGUCACAGUGAUUGAUGAUCUUGGCUUUCCAAUCUGCAGUCACAAAAGCCACCUCUGAGGAAAAUGUGCUGUGAAUCAGGCCGCUGGCAGUCCCACUGACCUCAACAAGCCACUCAGCUUCUGCAGCCUCAGUUUGUCAUCUGCGAAAUGGGAACAGUGUCAAUGCUGACCUUGCAGAAUGGCUGUGAAGAGCGAAUGAGCUGCUCUGGGUAAAGUGUGAGCUCAAGGUCGAUGCCAGGGACCCGUUAUCGUUCUGAUGUUUCCUUGCCAGACUGGAAGUUUCCUUGGGCAAUGAUCUUUCCUGCCUGGUGUAGCGCUAUGUCCCCAGGGCACAGCAUUUACUCAAAGCUGAACACGUCCUUAUCAAAUCCACAUUGCAGACUGCCAGUCAAUGCUGCGAGAAACUGACUGUGCAGGUGCUCUGGUCUGUGGAGGGGAGGUGAAAACCUGGGCUCUCCGAGGAAGCCUCUAGAGUCACCCAACAAACGCAAAUGAUAGUUUCAAACCUUCUGCAAGUCAGACAAAAUCCCUUUGUGGCCUCACUUAUCCCACAGCUCUGGCUUUUGCUUCUGCCAGAAGGCAGGGAGAACAGUUUCAGUUCAGAGGACCCUGAGAGCAGCUGCUCCAGGACGAGCAGCCCUGAGUCCCCAAUGCUGAGCCAUUCUCCUGGCAGCUGCCCAAGGGGCUUCCUGUGACAUCCCAUCCUGUCUAUGAUGGAAGCUGAGGGAGAGAGGAGGGAGCUGACAGUCGGGGAAACUGAGGCAAUUUAGGGCACCAUGUUACUUAGAGAGGGUGAUGCUGGGAUAUAAACCCAGGCUCCUGAUGCCAAGUAUGGGAACACUUAUGCCGAGUCCCCUGUGUCACCAAACUUAUGAGACCCCAUCUUGAGAUAAAAAAGAGUAGGGUUAUAGCUCUGUGUGAAGGCCCUGGAGUCGAUCUCUAGUCCCUCCUGACCCCCCCCCCCCACACACACACAAAGUGUGAGAUCUGGUCCCUGUCAUGUGGCAGCCGGAAGUGCCUGCCCUUGGGAAGUGGUGGGGUCAGGGAAGUAACAGCAGCAGGAAAGUGGGGAUCUGAGUGAGGGCCGACAGGACCUGCUUUGCCAGGAGGGCUGAGCCGGGAGGGGCAGGCUGGGGGUGCUCCACCGAGGAUGCACCCUAGACUCCCCCAUUGCCCCAGCAACAACAUCUGCAGGCCUCUCGUCCCUAAAAAGACUCAGGGUGGCCAACACUUCCCCAUCAUGGGGCAGAUCACUGCGCGGAAGCCGAGGGCCUGUGUGUGUUUGUGCGUGUUUCUCACUGCCUUAAACACAGCUUCUGCAGAGCACACUUCACGCCCUCUGAGGUCUUCAAGGCUGUGCUGAAUGUUAAUGCAGGGAGCGCUCACAGUGCCCUUAAUUUAGGAAUGUUAAUAUCUCCUGCAGGUGCUUUUUGGUUAAACACAGUUUUUCCCCCUUGGUGCAAAGCGUUUUAAUUUUUUAAAGUCUCCCAUGCCUGACUCAAAUGUUUGUUUUUAGGUCACUGCGAGUGUGAUUGUGGCUUAAUGAGGAAAAAAAAAUCAUUUGCAAAGCAACCUCUUAGGUUCGGAGGGUUUCCUGGCCUUAGGGCGCUGUUUCUGGGCGCCCUUUGUUUGUUCCCUUUUCAUCUAAGCAUAUGGUGUGUAGAGGGGAUGCUCUGGAGGACUGGAAGGAGAAGGCCCCGGGGCGACCCUGAGGUGAAGAAGCUGCAGCCUGGGAGGAGGCCAGAGCAGGUGCAGAUGGGCCACGCAGGCCGGGGCAAGCGCCGAGCUCGGUGUACAGCUCCGAGGCUUUGAGCUGCAGGGAACAGAAACCUGACUACGAGAGGGGUAGACCAGAAGGAGGAACAGGGGUAGACCAGAAGGAGGAACGGAAUAGAGGAGGAAGGCCCUCAGGGGCCUGGUCCAUGCUCCUCUGCGUGUGGCUGCAGUGUCGCACGGGGAUCAGCGCAGCUGCUGCAUCACAGUAUUGCAAGACAGCAGCCUGAGGAUGAAAGAAAGACCUGGUGAAGGGCUCUGAGCCUCCCUUUCUGUGUUCUCCAAUGGUCGCUCAGUGUCUGGGGCCAGUUCCACCCAAUCGCCGACCAAUACUGCACUGCCUCCCCCAGCCUUUCUCUGAAUUCUGCUAGUGCUUUGGUUGGUUCCUCUUCAGCCCAGAGCACACACACCACCUUGGGCGACGACUCUUGGUCCCUCUGAGCAGUUUAUGUUGGUCCCCUCUGUCAACUCAGAUAAUAAAAAUGUGAUGAACAUCACAGAAA